UACGUAGGUGGCAAGCGUUGUCCGGAUUUACUGGGCGUAAAGAGCGCGCAGGCGGUCGUGUAAGUCGCAUGUGAAAGCCCCCGGCUCAACUGGGGAGGGUCAUUCGAUACUGCUCGACUCGAAGGCAGGAGAGGGAAGUGGAAUUCCGGGUGUAGUGGUGAAAUGCGUAGAUAUCCGGAGGAACACCAGUGGCGAAGGCGACUUUCUGGCCUGUUCUUGACGCUGAGGCGCGAAAGCUAGGGGAGCAAACGGG
rnacentral:rRNA from 1 species